rnacentral:tRNA from 1 species
AUUCUUAUAGCUUAUGAAGAGCGUAGUAUUGAAGAUACUAAGGAGAUAAUAAUAAUCUUUGAAUA